GAAAAAUGCUACUGUGAAUGAACAUAAUGUGGGAUAACUAGCACAUAAUUUAGAAAAGCCAACACUAAGAAUGCAUUCAGUAUACUGAUCCUCAAAUUUAUCAGACCCUUAUACUGUCUUGCAUUUAAACUAAAACAAAUUAAAAGAGGCAUGCAUUCAUUCACUUAGACAUCUACUAUUUCUAUAUAUUCUGCUAAGGUGAUGUAGGAUAUAAACAAAAUAACCAUAAAGCCAUUGAAGUUCCUUAAGUCCUGUUUGGGUGGCUCUGUAUAUGUAUAUUAACACUUAAAUCAUAUUUAAGGCAAUAGUUUCUUAAAGGCAGGCUGCUCAGAAAAACUGUUAAAUUGAAGUUUGCUAGCAGCCUUUCAGUCACGUGACACUGGGCAGAAAUCUGUCACUGUCUAGUUUAAUAACAUUAACGGACCCGUUCAGACGUGGAACAUGAAUGACUAAAAC
rnacentral:lncRNA from 1 species